AUUCCAGCUCCAGUAGCGUAUAUUAAUGUUGUUGCAGUUAAAAAGCUCGUAGUUGGAUUUCUGACUUGACGCGCCUGGCCCGCCUUGCAUUUCGCGGGUGAGUGCCGGAGCGCGUCGGUCAUCCUUCUAGAGAACGGCGCUACCCUUCACUGGGUCGGCGUCGCAAUCUAGAUCUUUUACUUUGAAAAAAUUAGAGUGUUCAAGGCAGGCUCGCGCUGUGAAUACAUUAGCAUGGGAUAAUAAUCUAGGACUUUGUUCCUAUUUAGUUGGUUUCUAGGAAUUAAGUAAUGAUUGAUAGGGAUAGUUGGGGGUGCUAGUAUUCAGCGGCCAGAGGUGAAAUUCUUGGAUUCGCUGAAGACUAACUUAUGCGAAAGCAUUCACCAAGGAUGUCUUCAUCA
rnacentral:rRNA from 1 species